GGCGGGGGCAGGCAGCUAGGGGUGAAUUUUUUUUUUUUUUUUUUGAUAUAGGGUCUUACUAUGUAUUUCAGGCUAGACAUGGACUCACUAAUCCCAGACUGGCCUGGAACUCAUGGAGAUCCUCCUGGCUCAGCCUCCCAGAGUGCUGGGAUUACAGGCGUGCAUCACCAGGCCAGAGGUCGCCGGAGCAGAGCAGCCGAGAGCCCGGAGACGACCCCGCGCGGAGCUGGGGUUCAGUGCGGGUGCCAGACGCGUCGCCUGGGUCUCCAGCCCUUCCGUGUGGGCGGCGCAGCCCCCCGCCCCCUGCCCCAUUGGCUGCCGCCCUGCGGCCCAAAUAAAUCAGCGGGGACAGGCCGCGCCAGGCCCGGCUGCCGAGGCAGAGCUCGGCCAGGGCCAGCGGGGCCCCAGCGGCCCCGGAGAGGCCGGAGGAGAGGGGGAGGACCUCUGAAGAAAGAAAAACAAAAGCAAGGAAAGAAAGGCGAGUCCCGUCCACCUGGGGCUCGGGACUCUCUCCAGCCUCCUUGGGUUCUCCCGGCUUGGGGUGCGCCCUUCCCUCGCACCCCGGACUCUGCUGGCCUCCGCGCACGGCGGCGUCGGCUCGAGAGGCGAGCCCCUGCCCGGCAAGGACGUCGUCCCAGGGCCAGGGCCGACACCUCGCAAAAGGUGGAUCCAAGAGGUCUGGCAGCCUGGUUUCUGUCCUAAUCACUGUCCAGGUUAAACAGUUUUCCUUUAUUUAAAAAUUAACCCAACUGACAAAUUUCUCUCCCCAUUCCCUCAUUUGGUUUGAAAAUCAGUCUGGAGGGGAGAAGCCCCGAAAAAGGAACAAACACCUAUUUUCCCUUUGUUGGGACGCUGUUGGGGUGACCGGGGUCUGGACCAUAGUUACCGGGUCCCUUCCCGACCCCGAAAGUCCUUGACGGGGCGGCGUCCCCGCGCCCCCGAGGCGCCAGGCUGCUCUCUGCCCACAGCGAGGGCAGCGGGGUUUAGCUGUUGUCCCAGCAAGCGCACAAGGACACCCCAAACUUGGAAAAAUAAAGAAUUUACACUGCACCAGGGUCAGGCUCGCGCCAGGGCUCAGUUAGGCUCUGGCUUGGAGGCCGUUCGUGGCCUGGAUGCAAACUUGACCAAAGCAUUUAUUUUUAACAAGUAUAAAUUGUUUUUAAAAAUUCCUUUUAGCAGCAAAUCUGAGAAACACGAUUUAAAAAAUACAAUUGGAUUCAAAGGAAAUAAAGCGUCCAGAACAUUUACGUAACUGCUUACACACGAGCUUUGCAAAAUGCAGUCCGUUUCAACACUUGGUCCAACUCGCCACGGGACCGGGACCGAAGCGCUGCGAAACCUUGGACGCCGCGGUGGGAACCUUUCUGGGGGCUGCAGUCGAUCGAACUCGGGUUAAAAUUUAAAGCCCUGGAUCCGGCUCCGUGGCCGGUCUUCCCUCCAUUCCGGAGUUUUCCACCUUUACCCUUUCCCAACUCGCUGCGACUGGGACCCGCGCGGGGCCGGGGGCUGGCGAGGAGCGACGUCAUAAAAGUGACUAAAUCGGGCGAGAACGGUUUAUGGACUUUCUCGGUAGCAAUUUAAAAUUCAGGUCUUCAGCAGCAAUUUACAACGAAUGAGAAACGGAGAAUUUCCGUCCACUUCCUGGAUUCCCCAUCCCGCACUGCCGCCCCCACCCUCCCCAGGUUCCCAACUCACGUUCCAGGACCAGGAAACCCUGCUUGCGAAGAGCCCUCGCCGUCCCUGCGAGCCCCGCUUUACCACGAACCUCCCUACCCCAGUUCAGCUCUGCCCAGGCGCCUCUCCCUUCCCCAACUGGAAAAGCACAGAAAUAAAUAUUAAAAAAAAACCACCCCAAAACAAAAAUCAGAGCCCAAACGCGCACAGGGAGACUGACCUUUGGAAAAUCAUUUACUUCGAUGAGGCCGGGGAGGGGAGGCGCACUAACGCACCCCCGCGAGACCGCGCUUCUGACCCCACCGCCCCGCCCCGCCCCCACACGGCCUUUUCGGGGCUAAGGCAGCGGACCGGGGUCC
ensembl:lncRNA